rnacentral:rRNA from 1 species
GGAGUUAGCCGGUGCUUCUUCUGUGAGUGAUGUCCUUCCUGCCGGUUAUUGACCCGCAGGCCUUCUUCCUCACUGAAAGUGCUUUACAACCCGAAGGCCUUCUUCACACACGCGGCAUGGCUGGAUCAGGGUUGCCCCCAUUGUCCAAUAUUCCCCACUGCUGCCUCCCGUAGGAGUCUGGGCCGUGUCUCAGUCCCAGUGUGGCUGAUCAUCCUCUCAGACCAGCUACGGAUCGUCGCCUUGGUGAGCCGUUACCUCACCAACCAGCUAAUCCGACAUAGGCUCAUCCGAUAGCGCGAGGCCCGAAGGUCCCCCGCUUUCCCCCGUAGGGCGUAUGCGGUAUUAGCCUGGGUUUCCCCAGGUUAUCCCCCACUACCGGGGCAGAUUCCUAUGCAUUACUCACCCGUCCGCCGCUCGCCACCAGGGAGCAAGCUCCCCGUGCUGCCGCUCGACUUGCAUGUGUUAGGCCUGCCGCCAGCGUUCAAUCUGAGCCAGGAUCAAACUCUGA